rnacentral:piRNA from 1 species
UAACUGGAUCUCCCUGGUGUUUUUACCUCC